rnacentral:rRNA from 1 species
GAUGAACGCUGGCGGCGUGCCUAAUACAUGCAAGUCGAGCGAACAGAUAAGGAGCUUGCUCCUUUGACGUGAGCGGCGGGCGGGUGAGUAACACGUGUGUAACCUACCUGUAAGACUGGAAUAACUCCGGGAAACCGGGGCUAAUGCCGUAUAAGAUUUAGAAGCGCAGGGUGCUAAAGUGAAAGAUGGUGUUGCUAUCACUACUAGAGGGUCCCGCGCCGUAUUAGCUAGUUGGUAAGGUAACGGCUUAUCAAGGCAACGAUUGGUAGACGACCUGAUAGGGGGGUCGCCGACCUUGGAACGGGACCAGGCUCAAGGGGCCUACGGGACGGCCCAGUCGGGAAUCUGCCGCAAUGGGGGAAAGCAUGACGGAGCAGCGCGGAGUGAGUGAUGACGGCCUUCGGAUCGUAAAACCCUCUUAUUAGGGAAGAACAAAUGUGUACGUAACUGUGCCGGGCUUGACGGUACCUAAUAAGAAAGCAACGGCUAACUACGUG